UGUCUCUGUCAAGCGUUGUCCAAUCUGUAUCCGGUAUGGAAAUCCACCUAUGCCCUUAAACAGUCGGCGAACGGACGUGCCGUUGACGUGCAGUUUCAAAGUCGUUCCUUCUUCUACUAUUUGUAAUUCUAAAUUAGCAGUGCGCACGCCCAACGCCGGCGUUGGUCUAAAACUUAAACAUAGUCGAAGUCACUCGGCGCACACGCUUCGGAUCUCGGCGUUCACUUUGCGGCGCAUUAAUGCUAGAUAUGAACAGCCACACGGCGCAAAAGAGGCGGAGCUAUGACGAAAGCGCGCGCAAACGUUAACGCUCGCGCUUGGUGUAAACCUGC
rnacentral:lncRNA from 1 species